UACGGGGGGAGCAAGCGUUGUUCGGAUUUACUGGGCGUAAAGGGCGCGUAGGCGGCGUGACAAGUCACUUGUGAAAUCUCCGGGCUUAACCCGGAGCGGCCAAGUGAUACUGUCGUGCUAGAGUGCGGAAGGGGCUACUGGAAUUCUCGGUGUAGCGGUGAAAUGCGUAGAUAUCGAGAGGAACACCUGCGGCGAAGGCGGGUUGCUGGGCUGAUACUGACGCUGAGGCGCGAAAGCCAGGGGAGCGAACGGG
rnacentral:rRNA from 1 species